AUUGAACGCUGGCGGCAGGCCUAACACAUGCAAGUCGAACGAGUGGCGGACGGGUGAGUAAUGUCUGGGAAACUGCCUGAAGGAGGGGGAUAACUACUGGAAACGGUAGCUAAUACCGCAUACCAUCGGAUGUGCCCAGAUGGGAUUAGCUAGUAGGUGGGAUAAAGGCUCACCUAGGCGACGAUCCCUAGCUGGUCUAAGAGGAUGACCAGCGACACGGGAACGUAGACACGGUCCAGACUCCUACGGGAGGCAGCAGUGGGGAAUAUUGCACAAGGGGAGGAAGCCUGAUACAGCCAUGACACGUGUAUGAAGAAGGCCAUCGGGGUGUAAAGUACUUUCAGCGGGGAGGCGUUAGACGAAGAAGAAGCAACGGCUAACUCCGUGCAAGCAGCCGCGGUAAUUC
rnacentral:rRNA from 1 species